GCACUUGCUAUUCUGCCAAUAUGUCCGACCCCACUCUCCGUCUAAUCUACGAAUUCUAGUUAGAGUUUACGGUAAGUUGCGAGACUUUGCGCUCUCUCGGCUGACCCUUAUUGUAAUUGUCUGCUCACAAUAUGCCACUCGGUGACACGAUGUUGACAAUCUUGAAGUAUAAAUGAGUACUGGAUUAAAGUAGCUAGAACGGGCUUAUGUGCCGGGAAAUAUAUAUAAAAGAGCUCGUCAUGCCACAGAUAUUUGCGUUGAGCAAACAGCAGCAGACAGUUCGAGCCUCUGCCUCCGUCCUGAUACCAACGAUGGAAGAAGUCCCAGCCUAAGUAUCCUGAAAGAUGAAAUUAAACUUGUAUACGACAGAGCUCUGUGUUGUAAACACACUGACACAUCCUAACUAAUAGUGCUACACAUCCAUCCCAAACUGAAUUAUGAAAUACAACUAGUAGGAAUAUAACCAUCAGAUUGUCGUUGCAGACAAUUUUCGGGAGGAGGAAGGCUAAACAAGAUCAUACAUGUAUACAGACCAGUGGGUUGAAAAUGGUGAUCUGCCAAAAAUAAUGCAACAACAGCAACAAUAAAAACACUAAUGCAUGAAAACUAA